rnacentral:rRNA from 1 species
GACGAACGCUGGCGGCGUGCUUAACACAUGCAAGUCGAACGGAAAGGCCCUGCUUUUGUGGGGUGCUCGAGUGGCGAACGGGUGAGUAACACGUGAGUAACCUCCCCUUGACUUUGGGAUAACUUCAGGAAACUGGGGCUAAUACCGGAUAGGAGCUCCUGCUGCAUGGUGGGGGUUGGAAAGUUUCGGCGGUUGGGGAUGGACUCGCGGCUUAUCCGCUUGUUGGUGGGGUAGUGGCUUACCAAGGCUUUGACGGGUAGCCGGCCUGAGAGGGUGACCGGCCACAUUGGGACUGAGAUACGGCCCAGACUCCUACGGGAGGCAGCAGUGGGGAAUAUUGCACAAUGGGCGGAAGCCUGAUGCAGCAACGCCGCGUGCGGGAUGACGGCCUUCGGGUUGUAAACCGCUUUCGCCUGUGACGAAGCGUGAGUGACGGUAAAGGGUAAAGAAGCACCGGCUAACUACGUG